GGGCAACCUGCCCUCGGGAGGGGGAUAACCCCGGGAAACUGGGGCUAAACCCCCAUAGGGGAUGGAUACUGGAAUGUUCCAUCUCCGAAAGUCCGCAAGGAGCCCGAGGAUGGGUCUGCGGCGGAUUAGGUAGUUGGUGGGGUAACGGCCCACCAAGCCUAAGAUCCGUACAGGCCAUGGGAGUGGGAGCCCGGAGAUGGACCCUGAGACAAGGGUCCAGGCCCUACGGGGCGCAGCAGGCGCGAAACCUCCGCAAUGCGGGAAACCGCGACGGGGUCAGCCGGAGUGCCGAUGCUUGCAUCGGCUGUCGGGGAGCCUAAAAAGCUCUCCAAGCAAGGGCCGGGCAAGGCCGGUGGCAGCCGCCGCGGUAAUACCGGCGGCCCGAGUGGCGGUCACUAUUAUUGGGCUUAAAGCGUCCGUAGCCGGGUUGGUUAGUCUCCCGGGAAAUCUGGCCGCUCAACGGUCAGAAUUCCGGGAGAUACUGCCAGCCUAGGGACCGGGAGAGGCCGAGGGUAUUCCCGGAGUAGGGGUGAAAUCCUAUAAUCCCGGGAGGACCACCUGUGGCGAAGGCGCUCGGCUGGAACGGGUCCGACGGUGAGGGACGAAGGCCAGGGGAGCAAACCGGAUUAGAUACCCGGGUAGUCCUGGCUGUAAACGAUGCGGACUUUGUGUCGGACAAGCUAUGAGCUUGUCCGGUGCCGGAGGGAAACCGUU
rnacentral:rRNA from 1 species